rnacentral:rRNA from 1 species
CACGAAGUUAGCCGGGGCUUCUUCCCACGCUACCGUCAUCAUCGUCGCGUGCGAAAGAGCUUUACAACCCGAAGGCCUUCAUCACUCACGCGGCAUUGCUGGAUCAGGCUUGCGCCCAUUGUCCAAUAUUCCCCACUGCUGCCUCCCGUAGGAGUCUGGGCCGUGUCUCAGUCCCAGUGUGGCUGAUCAUCCUCUCAGACCAGCUAAGGAUCGUUGCCUUGGUAGGCCGUUACCCCACCAACAAGCUAAUCCUACGCGGGCCCAUCCCAUGGCGAUAAAUCUUUGUCCCGCAGGACACAUACGGUAUUAGCUCCAGUUUCCCGGAGUUAUUCCGUACACAGGGCAGGUUCCCACGCGUUACUCACCCGUGCGCCACUAGGGCCGAAGCCCUCGUUCGACUUGCAUGUGUUAGGCAUGCCGCCAGCGUUCGUUCUGAGCCAGGAUCAAACUCU